rnacentral:rRNA from 1 species
UACGUAGGUGACAAGCGUUGUCCGGAUUUACUGGGCGUAAAGAGCGCGCAGGCGGUCGUUCAAGUCGAGUGUGAAAGCCCCCGGCUCAACUGGGGAGGGUCACUCGAUACUGAUCGACUCGAAGGCAGGAGAGGGUAGUGGAAUUCCCGGUGUAGUGGUGAAAUGCGUAGAUAUUGGGAGGAACACCAGUGGCGAAGGCGGCUACCUGGACCGGUUCUGACGCUGAGGCGCGAAAGCGUGGGUAGCAAACAGG